AAACUGGACGAACCAACAUGGUCUCCACGUACGUACGGAGAGGUACGUACCAGAAAACGGCACCAUUUCCAGGGUUUUCAUUGGCUCAGUAGGAUGGACACGUGACCAUCCUUUCAAGCGACGCAGUGGUGGGUAGGCCCCUAGCUCCUACCCCCGAAAUCUCAGCAGCCGCCGUCGCAUUUGAACCGGCAAUUGUUUUGUUUUUUCUCGUUUGUUGUCAUUUUCGUUUUUAAUGGCGGCCUGCUGUCAUUUAAAAUGAAUAAAUAUAUUACUUUUAGAAAAGGGCCGACUGCUCGUGAAGAGAACGAUGGAAUUUAUAGAUUCGGCUGGAAAACUUGUCGAGAAAGCUUUUUUGCUUUUUUAGAUAAACUGACACGAGAGUUUGGUACCUUCUCAAACAGGCAUAAUUUCAAUCUAAUUAAUUGUAUCUGAGAUUUUUUUACCAGAUUUGUUUACUAACAGGGAGCCCUCACUUUUUGCCGUAGCAAAACUGUUGGCAACUGGUCUUGUAAAUCUAAACAGGGUAGAAGUUCUUUGGCGUCCUGUAACAAAUCACCUGCUGGAAGUCAUCAUCCACCCGCUUAACCACAUGAGAGAAUGGGGAAUAGAGGCCAUUACUACGUUAGUUAGAUAAGCAAUUCAAUAUGAAUAUUCUACCCCUUUAAAAGAAAACCAGACGUUGUUAAUAUCGCCAUUAAAUGAGCUGUCUAGUACCAGUUUUGCAGACGUGCGGCAAAAGCAAGUUGAUUGUGUGCAACACCAAACUACUAUAUCAGCUGAUUCUUCAAUUAUUUCUUGAUAAAAUCUGUCUUGCAAAUUUCUAUAACAAGCAAAAUAUAUAAUUUUACAAUUA
rnacentral:lncRNA from 1 species